UACGGAGGGUGCAAGCGUUAUCCGGAUUCACUGGGUUUAAAGGGUGCGUAGGCGGUCAGAUAAGUCAGUUGUGAAAUACCCCGGCUUAACCGGUGGAACUGCGAUUGAUACUGUUUGACUUGAAUCAGGUUGAGGUAGGCGGAAUGAGGCAUGUAGCGGUGAAAUGCUUAGAUAUGCCAUAGAACACCGAUUGCGAAGGCAGCUUGCUGGACCUGUAUUGACGCUGAGGCACGAAAGCGUGGGGAGCAAACAGG
rnacentral:rRNA from 1 species